AUGGACCACCAAGCACACGGCGCCGGCGAGAAGAAGGGCAUCAUGGAGAAGAUCAAGGAGAAGCUCCCCGGCGGCCACGGUGACCACAAGGAGACCGCUGGCGCCCACGGGCACGCCGGCACGGUGACGCAUGGCGCCCCGGCCACUGGUGGUGCCUACGGGCAGGAGGGUCACACCGGAACCACCGGCACGGGGUUGCAUGGCGCCCACGCCGGCGAGAAGAAGGGCGUCAUGGAGAACAUCAAGGACAAGCUCCCCGGUGGCCAUGCUGACCACCAGCAGACUGGUGGCACCUAUGGGCAGCAGGGACAUACCGGUACGGCGACGCAUGGCACCCUUGCGACUGGUGGCACCUAUGGGCAGCAGGGGCAUACCGGCACGGCGAUGCAUGGCACCCCGGCGACCAAUGGCACCUAUGGGGAGCACGGACAUACCGGCACGGCGACCGGUGGCAGCUACGGGGAGCAAAGACAUACCGGAGUGACCGGCACGGGGACGCACGACAUCGGCGAGAAGAAGAGCCUCAUGGAGAACAUCAAGGAGAAGCUCCCUGGUGGCCAUGGUGACAACCAACAGACCGCUGGCACCUACGGGCAGCAGGGACACGUCGCCACGGGGACGCAUGGCACCCCGGCGACCGGUGGCACCUAUGGGGAGCAGGGACACGCUGGAGUGACCGGCACGGGGACGCACGGCACCGGCGAGAAGAAGGGCCUCAUGGAGAACAUCAAGGACAAGCUCCCUGGUGGCCACGGUGACCACCAGCAGACCGGUGGCACCUACGGGCAGCAGGGACACACCGGCGCGGCGACACAUGGCACCCCGGCUGGCGGCGGCACCUAUGAGCAGCACGGACACACUGGGAUGACCGGCACGGGGACACACGGUACCGGCGGGAAGAAGGGCGUCAUGGAGAACAUCAAGGACAAGCUCCCUGGUGGCCACGGUGACCACCAGCAGACCGGUGGAGCCUACGGGCAGCAGGGACACACCGGCACGGCGACGCAUGGCACCCCGGCCGGCGGCGGCACCUAUGAGCAGCACGGUAACACUGGAAUGACCGGCACGGAGACGCAUGGCACCACGGCCACCGGCGGCACCCAUGGGCAGCACGGACACACGGGAACUACUGGCACUGGGACACACGGCACCGACGGGGUCGGCGAGAAGAAGAGCCUCAUGGACAAGAUCAAGGACAAGCUACCUGGACAGCACUGA
rnacentral:rRNA from 1 species